CUUUAAAAAGCUAUGCAGACUGUAUCCAACAGCUUAGACACAUUCAUAACCCUUCAUGAUCCUUCUGAUGAAGCACAGUCUGUCUACAAAGGAGCGAAGAUUGCUUUUGUUUUUAUUUAAACCGAAUAACAUUAUGGAGCACUAUUGUGUUUCUAUGGCCAUCAAGAACCGAAGAAUCCUAAGCCUUUUUUGGAUGGAGGGGGGAACAGAUGGAGGACCCUUUUAAUGAAGGAGCAUAAAAAGCUGCAGAACUGAAUGAAGGAGCAAGAGAGAUGGAAAGGGGUUGCUGCCCUUCAGGGAGUAUGUGAGGACUCUAAUGGUUCUUCCGUUCUGUUGUCUCCUUCCCCUGGACUGCUUUGCCUUCUCCCUACCGUCUGCCUAUUAUUUCUUGUCCUCCUCCCAAUCAGUGUUGUCAGAUCUCAAAAGUUCUUAUAUGCCCAACCAAUCAAAGAAUUUGUUCCCACUGAUCCAUUUUACCUUCUGGAGUGUAUUAAGUUGUUUACAAGUAGCUAAUUUACCCUUAUUUUUGGCAUUUGAAAUAGCUGAUUUAACCUGUGAUAUCCCCACCUAUACUGAACGUUUCUGGUCUUAAAGGGACAGUAUACACAAAUUUUCAUAUAACUGCAUGUAAUAGGCACUACUAUAACAAAUAAUAUGCACAGAUACUGAUCUAAAAAUCCGGUAUAAAACCGUUUAAAAACAUAGAAGCUCCCAGUUUAGCUCUGUUGAAAAGGUUAGCUGGGCACCCACUGAAAGCAAAAACAGUAGACACCACCUCCCCAUUCCUCUGCAUAUGAAAAUACCCUUUACACAAACAUAAGCAAGCAGGAGGAGGUAUUCAUCAGUAUACUUUUAAAACUUUGGGGCUUGGUUAUGAGUCUGAAAAUCAGAGCUAUGUUAUUUAAAAAUAAGCAAAACUAUACCUUUAAAAACAAAAACAAAAAAACCCCUUUAUGGGCUAUAUAAAUAGAUCAUCUACAAAACAUUUAUGCAAAGAAACAUCUAGUGUCCCUUUAAGUCCAGGCUGUUGACAGGCCUAUGAAAAACAUAGCCAGCAGAAUAAAUUAUACUCCUGGUGGAGUGUAGAAGAGAUAUCUAAUAAAAUUAUAAUUUUC